rnacentral:rRNA from 1 species
AGAGUUUGAUCCUGGCUCAGGAUGAACGCUGGCGGCGUGCCUAACACAUGCAAGUCGAACGUGAGAGCAUAGCAAUAUGCUUGAAAGUGGCGAACGGGUGAGUAACACGUAGGUGACCUGCCGCGCAGAGGGGGAUAACGACUGGAAACGGUCGCUAACACCGCAUGUGACGAGCUUAAUGGGAAUUUAGCUCGUUAAAACUGAGGUGCUGCGCGAGGGGCCUGCGCCCGAUUAGUUAGUUGGUGAGGUAACGGCUCACCAAGACGAUGAUCGGUAGCUAGUCUGAGAGGAUGAUUAGCCACACGGGAACUGAGACACGGUCCCGACUCCUACGGGGGGCAGCAGUGAGGAAUAUUGCACAAUGGACGCAAGUCUGAUGCAGCAACGCCGCGUGGAGGAUGAAGGUCUUUGGAUUGUAAACUCUUUUUCUCAGGGAAGAGAAUGGACGGUACCUGAGGAAUAAGUCACGGCUAACUACGUGCCAGCCGCCGCGGUAAUUC